AUUGAACGCUGGCGGCAGGCCUAACACAUGCAAGUCGAGCGGAUGAAGGGAGCUUGCUCCUGGAUUCAGCGGCGGACGGGUGAGUAAUGCCUAGGAAUCUGCCUGGUAGUGGGGGAUAACGUCCGGAAACGGGCGCUAAUACCGCAUACGUCCUGAGGGAGAAAGUGGGGGAUCUUCGGACCUCACGCUAUCAGAUGAGCCUAGGUCGGAUUAGCUAGUUGGUGGGGUAAAGGCCUACCAAGGCGACGAUCCGUAACUGGUCUGAGAGGAUGAUCAGUCACACGGGAGAUGAGGCACGGUCGAGACGAGUACGGGAGGCAGAAGUGGGGAAUAUUGGACAAUGGGCGAAAGAUUGAUCAGGCAAUGCAGAGGGGGUGAAGAAGGUCUUCGGAUUGGAAAGCACUUUAAGUUGGGAGGAAGGGAAGUAAGUUAAUAACUUGCUGGUUUGACGUUACGAAAAGAAGAAGCACGGGCUAACUUCGUG
rnacentral:rRNA from 1 species